rnacentral:rRNA from 1 species
CCUACGGGUGGCAGCAGUGGGGAAUAUUGCGCAAUGGGCGAAAGCCUGACGCAGCGACGCCGCGUGAGGGAUGAAGGUCUUCGGAUCGUAAACCUCUGUCAGCAGGGAAGAACGGUCACUUUGCUAAUCAGCAGUGAAUUGACGGUACCUGCAAAGGAAGCACCGGCUAACUCCGUGCCAGCAGCCGCGGUAAUACGGAGGGUGCGAGCGUUACUCGGAAUUACUGGGCGUAAAGCGCUCGUAGGCGGGAUGUCAAGUCAAGGGUGAAAUCCCCGGGCCCAACGUGGGAACUGUAUUGGAAACUGGCAAACUGGAGUUUGUGAGAGGAAGGUGGAAUUCCGGGUGUAGGAGUGAAAUGCGUAGAUAUCACGAGGAACAUCGGUGGCGAAGGCGACUAUCUGGAACAUAACUGACGCUGAGGAGCGAAAGCGUGGGUAGCAAACAGGAUUAGAUACCCGAGUAGUC